rnacentral:siRNA from 1 species
UCGAGUAACCUCAGCUCAGGCCA